AUUGAACGCUGGCGGCAGGCUUAACACAUGCAAGUCGAGCGAGCGGCGGACGGGUGAGUAAUGUCUGGGAAACUGCCUGAUGGAGGGGGAUAACUACUGGAAACGGUAGCUAAUACCGCAUACCAUCAGAUGUGCCCAGAUGGGAUUAGCUAGUAGGUGGGGUAAUGGCUCACCUAGGCCACGAUCCCUAGCUGGUCUGAGAGGAUGACCGUCCCCACUGGAACGAAGCCCCGGCCCGAACUCCUACGGGAGGAUGCAGUGGGGAAUAUUGCACAAUGGGCGCAAGCCUGAUGCAGCCAUGCCGCUGAUGUGAAUAAGUCCUUCGGGUUGUAAGGCACUUUCAUCGAGAAGACGUUAACUACAGAGAAAGCACCGGCUAACUCCGUGCCAGCAGCCGCGGUAAUAC
rnacentral:rRNA from 1 species